AAUGAACGCUGGCGGCAUGCCUAACACAUGCAAGUCGAACGAAGGCUUCGGCCUUAGUGGCGCACGGGUGCGUAACGCGUGGGAAUCUGCCCUUGGGUUCGGAAUAACAGUUAGAAAUGACUGCUAAUACCGGAUGAUGUCGUAAGACCAAAGAUUUAUCGCCCAAGGAUGAGCCCGCGUAGGAUUAGCUAGUUGGUGGGGUAAAGGCCCACCAAGGCGACGAUCCUUAGCUGGUCUGAGAGGAUGAUUAGCCACACUGGGACUGAGACACGGCCCAGACUCCUACGGGAGGCAGCAGUGGGGAAUAUUGGACAAUGGGCGAAAGCCUGAUCCAGCAAUGCCGCGUGAGUGAUGAAGGCCUUAGGGUUGUAAAGCUCUUUUACCCGGGAUGAUAAUGACAGCACCGGGAGAAUAAGCUCCGGCUAACUUCGUGCCAGCAGCCGCCGUAA
rnacentral:rRNA from 1 species